UGGACACAGCACAGGGGACAUCUUCGAAAGCUUCUCCUCGCACCCGCCCCUCAUCCUCCCCCUGGGGAGCUCGCGCCUGCGCCUCACUGGUCCAGUGACGGACGAUGCCUUGCACCGUGAACUCCGUAGGCUCCGCCGCCUCCUCUGGGAUCUUGAGCAGCAGGAGCUGCCAGCCAAUUAUCGCCAUGGGCCUCCCGUGGCCACGUCUCCUUGAGAACCAAUACCAAACGAGCGCGCGAACCUUGAAAUGUCACGGGCUUCUACUGACAGGAGCCCGCCUGAGCGCAGAGCUUUCUGGGAGUUGUAGUUCUUAUCCCGCGUGGAAUGUUGGGAGAUUGAGUUUUCGGGAAGUAGCGGAUGGGACGGUGGGAGCAUGGGCUUAGGAUGUGAAUGCCAGGGAGCAAUAAAGGUAUCCGUGGUAUCGGCA
rnacentral:lncRNA from 1 species